rnacentral:rRNA from 1 species
GACGAACGCUGGCGGCGUGCUUAACACAUGCAAGUCGAACGAAGUGGCGAACGGGUGAGUAAUACGUGGGUAACCUGCCCUCCUUUGUGGGAUAAGCCUUGGAACCGGGGUCUAAUACCGCAUAAAGGGUGUUGGGAUCGCGGCCUGUCAGCUUGUUGGUGGGGUGGGGGCCUACCAAGGCGGUGACGGGUAGCCGGCCUGUGAGGGUGACCGGCCACAUUUGGACGGAGCAACCGCCCAGACGUCUACGGGAGGCAGCAGGGGGGGAUAUUGCACAAUGGGCGAAAGCCUGAUGCAGCGACGCCGCGUGGGGGAUGAAGGCUUUCGGGUUGUAAACCUCUUUCGAGAUCGAUCGGGUAGGUGGAGAAGAAGCGACGGCUAACUACGUGCCAGCAGCCGAGGUAAUAC